rnacentral:lncRNA from 1 species
UGGCAGGUCAAUUGGGCUGAAGCCCCAUGCACAGAGGAGCAGCAUUUCUCAUUCUCCUGAUCUUGGUGCAAAGUUAACUGGUUACCCCACUUUGAACCAGUCCAGAUCAGGGGAACCAAGACAAAAGCAGACAUUGGAUGAGCAAGCCAUGGUCAUAGAAUCACGGAAUCGUUAAGGUUGGAAAAGACCACUAAGAUCAUCUGGUCCUACCACCAACCCACCACCCAACCACCAACCCAUGACACAGGUCAGCAGAAAAACAUGGUUCAAAACCACUUUCCUUCUGCACUUUCAGGUCUCUUUCUCCACU